CCUACGGGCGGCAGCAGUGGGGAAUAUUGCACAAUGGGCGCAAGCCUGAUGCAGCCAUGCCGCGUGUGUGAAGAAGGCCUUCGGGUUGUAAAGCACUUUCAGCGGGGAGGAAGGCGGUGAGGUUAAUAACCUCAUCGAUUGACGUUACCCGCAGAAGAAGCACCGGCUAACUCCGUGCCAGCAGCCGCGGUAAUACGGAGGGUGCAAGCGUUAAUCGGAAUUACUGGGCGUAAAGCGCACGCAGGCGGUCUGUCAAGUCGGAUGUGAAAUCCCCGGGCUCAACCUGGGAACUGCAUUCGAAACUGGUAGGCUAGAGUCUUGUAGAGGGGGGUAGAAUUCCAGGUGUAGCGGUGAAAUGCGUAGAGAUCUGGAGGAAUACCGGUGGCGAAGGCGGCCCCCUGGACAAAGACUGACGCUCAGGUGCGAAAGCGUGGGGAGCAAACAGGAUUAGAUACCCGAGUAGUC
rnacentral:rRNA from 1 species